rnacentral:rRNA from 1 species
UACGUAGGGAGCGAGCGUUAUCCGGAAUUAUUGGGCGUAAAGGGUGCGUAGAUGGUUGAUAUAAGUCUUUUGUAAAAAUGCUAGGCUCAACCUAGUAGGGCAAAAGAUACUGAUGAACUAGAGUACGGCAGAGGCAAGUGGAACUACAUGUGUAGCGGUAAAAUGCGUAAAUAUAUGUAAGAACACCAGUGGCGAAGGCGACUUUCUGGACAGUAACUGACGUUGAGGCACGAAAGUGUGGGGAGCAAACAGG